UAUGAAGAACGUAGCGAAAUGCGAUAAGUAAUGUGAAUUGCAGAAUUCAGUGAAUCAUCGAAUCUUUGAACGCACAUUGCGCCCCUUGGUAUUCCGAGGGGCAUGCCUGUUCGAGCGUCAUUAUAACCCCUCAAGCUCAGCUUGGUGUUGGGGCCUGCUGCACUGGCAGCCCUUAAAAUCAGUGGCGGCGCCAUCUGGCUCUAAGCGUAGUAAUUCUUCUCGCUAUGGAGUCCUGGUGGAUGCUUGCCAUCAACCCCCAAUUUUUCUAUGGUUGACCUCGGAUCAGGUAGGGAUACCCGCUGAACUUAAGCAUAUCAAUAAGCGGAGGA
rnacentral:misc_RNA from 1 species